rnacentral:ncRNA from 2 species
AGUUUAUAAAGAAGAAGGGAGAGAACAGGCUCUAUGAACUUCUGACAACCAUCUCUGUAAGAGAAAGGUGCCAAAACCUGCCUAAUUUUUAGGAGUUAUAAAUU